CGCAUGGAUCAUCAUGCAUUUUAAGGAACCUGGAAUUUGCAAGAAGAAUGGAAAUCCUCCUGUGGGCUCCACCAUUCCCAGAUGCACGGCCAGCGGCUAGUUCUCUUCUCAGGCUGCCGAGUUUCAUUUCUUGCUCUCAAAAAUAGAGACACAACCCAAAAUGUGAGCAUCUCUGCAGCAGUACAGAGAGAGUAGAGCCUGGAAUCUCGACUCAGAAAAUAUGGGCUUCCAGUCCUGGCCACCUCUCUUAGCAUGAGAACAAGCAAGAACCUUAACCACCCCCACUUCAGUUUCUCCAUCUGUAAAACUGGACUAACAAUGGUAUUGACCUUCUAGGGAUGGAGGGAAGCCCGAAUGAGUAAUAAACUCCCCACAGUCAUGCUUGGCCAGCGGUGAAAGCUACCACGUGUCCCAGGAGGAAGAUUUCAAAGGACCCGGGUUGGCUGUACAUUGGAUUCAUCAGAGUUUGGUGCUUGUCCUGAUGGUGCCUGGCUACAGCCCUCCCAUCCAGAAUAAUGGUGCCCGCCCGCCUUAAAAUAUUCGAGCCCAAG